rnacentral:rRNA from 1 species
UACGUAGGGUGCAAGCGUUAAUCGGAAUUACUGGGCGUAAAGCGUGCGCAGGCGGUUUUGUAAGUCUGUCGUGAAAGCCCCCGGGCUCAACCUGGGAAUUGCGAUGGAGACUGCAAGGCUUGAAUCUGGCAGAGGGGGGGUAGAAUUCCACGUGUAGCAGUGAAAUGCGUAGAGAUGUGGAGGAACACCGAUGGCGAAGGCAGCCCCCUGGGUUAACACUGACGCUCAGGCACGAAAGCGUGGGGAGCAAACAGG